rnacentral:rRNA from 1 species
AUGCAAGUCGAGCGAUAACCGGGGGCAACUUCGGGGAAAGCGGCGGACUGGUGAGUAACGCGCGGGCGACCUGCCCCGGGGAUGGGGACAGCCGUUGGAAACAGCGGGUAAUACCGAAUACGCUUGCAUAGCUGAGGCUAUGUGAGGAAAGGGGCUACGGCCCCGCCCCGGGAUGGGCCCGCGUCCCAUUAGCUCGUUGGCGGGGUAAGAGCCCACCAAGGCGAAGAUGGGUAGCCGGCCUGAGAGGGCGAACGGCCACACUGGGACUGAGAUACGGCCCAGACUCCUACGGGAGGCAGCAGCUAAGAAUAUUCCGCAAUGGACGAAAGUCUGACGGAGCGACGCCGCGUGGAUGAGGAAGGCCGAAAGGUUGUAAAAUCCUUUUGCAGGCGCAGAAGAAGGCGGGGAGGGAAUGCCCCGUCGGUGACAAAGGUCUGUGAAUAAGCCCCGGCUAAUUACGUGCCAGCAGCCGCGGUAACACGUAAGGGGCGAGCGUUGUUCGGAAUUAUUGGGCGUAAAGGGCGCGUAGGCGGCCAUGUAAGUCUGAUGUGAAAUGUCCGGGCUUAACCCGGGAACUGCAUUGGAAACUGCAUGGCUUGAGUCACGGAGGGGCAGCCGGAAUUCCUGGUGGAGGGGUGAAAUCUGUAGAUAUCAGGAAGAACACCGGUGGCGAAGGCGGGCUGCCAGCCGAUGACUGACGCUGAGGCGCGAAAGUGCGGGGAGCAAACAGGAUUAGAUACCCUGGUAGUCCGCACUGUAAACGAUGUGCACUAGGUGUCGGGGCGAGCGUCUCGGCGCCGGAGCGAACGCGAUAAGUGCACCGCCUGGGGAGUAUGCCCGCAAGGGUGAAACUCA